CAUUUACACAACUGCCACUUGCCAUAAAGUUGUGUAAUAAAAAAGCUGCCAUUUUUAAUAUGCUUUUUAGGAUAAAAGCUUAGAACUAAAGUAGAUUAAAUAUUAAUGAGUCCUGAGAGAAAUUAUUUAGCUUCAAAGUAAUACUAUAAAACUCGUCUAAAAAUAAUAUGAAUGUAUUAGUAAAUUUCAAUUAUUCUAAAGCUAUGACUACGCAAAUUUGAGGAACUAAUAUGUGCUUCUGAAACUGCUCUGCCAUUUCUAUUUUAACUUGGCUGAAGAGUAGAAGCCAGUUUCAGUGCGAUUGUAGUGCAGUGAUGAAAACUUAAUAUACAUUCUUAUUUCUAUUUUCUUAAAAUUAUUUAAAUAGUUCGAGUACGUUUAAUUUCGCACGAGGCGAACGCUCUACUCUCGAGCAAUUUAUUUUAGUACUUAAAGCGUCCGAACGACGCUUUUUGUACGGGUUUUUCUUUUUCCCGUUCCCGCUGGACACGUCUCGUCCACGCGGUGUGAACCCGGCCGUGCGGGCCCGCCAUUACGGUAGCCAAACGAGGAUUGAGGCAUUCCGACCUACCGAGAUUCUCCAAAGGAAAGUUUCCCCCAGUCCCGGUGGUUGUGUAGUCCCACAGACGAAGGCCAGUUGGAGACCCGUGACGCUUCCUGAGGAGAGGAGACGGCAGAGUAUCGGACCAUCAGCCACCGCCCUUUCUCGCAACUAUAGAUCGGCCAACUACGCACGUGUGCCCAUUCCGGCGAUGCAUCUGCCGAAGAGCUCGAGUGUUCCGUCGCACCAUUGAUCGGACACCCCCUGUAGCUGGCACCGUCGUUAUCAUCGCUCGAUGACGACACAGCCCUGUCGGUAUACCAGCCGCCAGCAUAAACCCUGAUCAGGUAUGUCGCAAAUCAUGGCCAUGUAACACACACAACAACACUCACACUCUCACUACACACUAAAAUGAAUCUUGGAAAAAAAACAUAAUACAUAAAUGAAUUCAAUAUAAA